CCUACGGGAGGCAGCAGUGAGGAAUAUUGGUCAAUGGACGAGAGUCUGAACCAGCCAAGUAGCGUGAAGGAUGACUGCCCUAUGGGUUGUAAACUUCUUUUAUAUGGGAAUAAAAUGUUCCACGUGUGGGAUUUUGUAUGUACCAUAUGAAUAAGGAUCGGCUAACUCCGUGCCAGCAGCCGCGGUAAUACGGAGGAUCCGAGAGUUAUCCGGAUUUAUUGGGUGUAAAGGGAGCGUAGGUGGAUUGUUAAGUCAGUUGUGAAAGUUUGCGGCUCAACCGUAAAAUUGCAGUUGAAACUGGCAGUCUUGAGUACAGUAGAGGUGGGCGGAAUGCGUGGUGUAGCGGUGAAAUGCUUAGAUAUCACGAAGAACUCCGAUUGCGAAGGCAGUUCACUGGACUGCAACUGACACUGAGGCUCGAAAGUGUGGGUAUCAAACAGGAUUAGAUACCCCAGUAGUC
rnacentral:rRNA from 1 species